UACAUAGACGAUGGUUUGUAAAUCCAAACCCCUUAUGCUUAUCAUUUCUCGCUCUCUCGUUUUUGAUACAACAAUCCAUUCUUAUCCAGACGUCUCUGAUCUCACUCAUAAGCUCCUAUCGCUCUUGAAGCAGUGUAGUUCAUCCAAAUCAUUGAAACAAGUCCACUCUCAGAUGCUCAUCAAUUCCAUAGAAAAACCCAAUUUCCUCCUCUCCAAACUGGUCGAUCUCAAAGAUUUUACCUAUGCUUCGCUCCUCUUCUCUCAAACACCAGAACCCAAUGACUUCUCGUACAAUGUCAUGAUUCGUGGUCUAACCAACACAUGGUACAAAUUUGCUCUCGCGCUUGAAUUUUAUCACCAAAUGAAGUUCUUAGGCCAAAAACCAAAUAAUUUCACCUACCCAUUUCUUCUAAUCUCUUGUGCAAACCUCCCGUCGUUGGACCAAGGUAGGAGGGCCCAUUCGUUGAUUUUCAAAUCUGCGUUGGACUCUGAUUGCCACACCAGACACUCGUUGAUCACUAUGUAUGCAAGGUGCGGUGAGUUGGGUGAUGCACGGAAGGUGUUCGAUGAAAUUACUAAUAGGGACUUGGUUUCUUGGAAUUCAAUGAUAUCUGGGUACUCUAAGAUGGGUUUUGCUACAGAGGCAGUGAGUUUGUAUAGGAGAAUGAGGUUGGCAGGUUUCGAGCCAGAUGAAAUGACUCUAGUGAGCGUUCUAGGAGCAUGCGGGGACUUGGGAGACUUGAGUUUGGGAAGAUGGGUCGAAGGGCUUGUGGAGGAUCAAAAAAUCGAGUUGAAUUCUUUUGUGGGCUCUUCGUUGAUUGAUAUGUAUGGGAAAUGUGGGGAUCUUGAUUCAGCAAGGAAAGUUUUCAAUAAAAUAUUGAAGAAAGAUAUUGUUGCGUGGAAUGCCAUGAUAACAGGAUAUGCACAAAAUGGAGCAUCAGAUGAAGCAAUCAGGUUAUUCCAUCACAUGAGGGCAGCAGGUGUGGACCCUGAUAAGAUCACAUUGAUUGGUGUUCUAUCAGCCUGUGCCUCCAUAGGGGCCCUUGAUGUUGGGAAGUGGGUAGAUGCAUAUGCAUCACAAAAUGGUAUAAAACAUGAUAUCUAUGUUGGUACAGGCCUAAUAGAUAUGUAUGCCAAGUGUGGGAGCCUAGUCCAUGCACGUAGAAUCUUUGGAGAGAUGCCCCGAAAAAAUGUGGUCUCUUGGAAUGCCAUGAUCUCUGCCCUUGCUGUUCAUGGGCAUGCCUCGGAGGCAAUAGCACUAUUUAAGAGAAUGGCAAAGGAAGGAGGAGACGUACAUCCAAAUGACAUCACAUUUGUGGGUGUACUCUCUGCAUGCGUGCAUGCUGGAUUGGUUGAUGAAGGCCGUAGGUGGUUUCAAAUGAUGGGACCAUCAUUUGGGCUGGUCCCAAAAAUAGAGCAUUACUCUAGCAUGGUUGAUCUUUUGGCACGUGCUGGAUAUUUAAAUGAAGCAUGGGAGUUCAUUGAGAAGAUGUCUGAAAAGCCUAAUGCAGUCGUAUUAGGGGCACUCCUUGCUGCCUGUCGGAAUUUUGGAAAUGCCGAGGUUGGUGAACGUGUAAUGCACCUACUUCUGGAGUUGGAGCCUUCAAAUUCUGGAAAUUACAUUAUCUCAUCAAAGAUAUUUGCAAAUUCAAAGAGGUGGGAUGCGUCAGCAAGAAUGAGAGGAUUGAUGAGGGAGAGGGGUGUUACUAAAACUCCUGGUUGCAGCUGGAUUGAGAUCGAGAAUAAAGUUCAUGAAUUUCAUGCAGGGGAGGGUUUGUAUCUUAAUUCAAGAGAAAUUUACUGUGUUAUUGACUUGUUAACUGAGGAGAUGAAGAUGGAGGGAUAUUCCCCAAAAAUUGAUUUUGUUUAGAGAGAAGAUGGAAAGUUUUCUUUGCUUCAACCAAGUCCACAAAGACAAAGCAAUGUCGUUGCAGUUGGGAAUUUUAUCAGAAUUAUUAACUAAUCUGACCUCCUUGGAAUUUCAUCUGCAUGGUAUUAUGGGAUGAGGGAAUGGUGCAUUUUAUUUACUAACCGUGCAUCAUCCACAGUACAUCAAUCUGGAUAGCUAGACACGCUUAUUACCAUAUGGAAGGUUAUUACAAGCCAUCUCAAGAGUUAAGUUUGCCCACCACCUAAAUGGUUUAAAUUUCUACAUAAUAGGUAAUGACUGAAGGACAAAAGAUUUAUGCUAUUGCACAUUAUAGUUAAUGUAAUGGCUUGUUGUCUUGUGUCUAAUUUUUUAACCAUUAAUUUCAGUUAAUAUAUCAUAAUUUAAAUGGAUUACCAGAAAUUACUCUAUGCAAGUCUCAUGCUUGUGGGGAAAGUUGCAACUGUUGGUCUUAAUUUGUGAUUGCUAUAUUUUAAUCUUGAGAAGGGAAAGGUUUCUGCUCUGAAGAGUUUACUUGCCGGCUCAUAAGAUUAAUUGCAAGUAUUCUGUUGCACACUUGGGCUAAAGUCAGCCGAAUUGCAUUAGCAAAAAAGUUAGCAAGUGUCUAG